rnacentral:rRNA from 1 species
GGGGUCGCGUCCUAUCAGCUUGUUGGCGGGGUGAUGGCCCACCAAGGCGUUGACGGGUAGCCGGCCUGAGAGGGUGACCGGCCACAUUGGGACUGAGAUACGGCCCAGACUCCUACGGGAGGCAGCAGUGGGGAAUAUUGCACAAUGGGCGCAAGCCUGAUGCAGCGACGCCGCGUGCGGGAUGGAGGCCUUCGGGUUGUAAACCGCUUUUGUUCAAGGGCAAGGCACGGCUUCGGGCCGUGUUGAGUGGAUUGUUCGAAUAAGCACCGGCUAACUACGUGCCAGCAGCCGCGGUAAUACGUAGGGUGCGAGCGUUAUCCGGAUUUAUUGGGCGUAAAGGGCUCGUAGGCGGUUCGUCGCGUCCGGUGUGAAAGUCCAUCGCCUAACGGUGGAUCUGCGCCGGGUACGGGCGGGCUGGAGUGCGGUAGGGGAGACUGGAAUUCCCGGUGUAACGGUGGAAUGUGUAGAUAUCGGGAAGAACACCAAUGGCGAAGGCAGGUCUCUGGGCCGUUACUGACGCUGAGGAGCGAAAGCGUGGGGAGCGAACAGGAUUAGAUACCCUGGUAGUCCACGCCGUAAACGGUGGAUGCUGGAUGUGGGGCCCUUUCCACGGGUCCUGUGUCGGAGCCAACGCGUUAAGCAUCCCGCCUGGGGAGUACGGCCGCAAGGCUAAAACUCAAAGGAAUUGACGG